rnacentral:rRNA from 1 species
UACGAGGGGGGCUAGCGUUGUUCGGAAUUACUGGGCGUAAAGGGCGCGUAGGCGGCGCGUUAAGUCAGGUGUGAAAGCCCUGGGCUCAACCCAGGAAUUGCACUUGAUACUGACGUGCUUGAAUCCGGAAGAGGAUGACGGAAUUCCCAGUGUAGAGGUGAAAUUCAUUGAUAUUGGGAAGAACACCAGUGGCGAAGGCGGUCAUCUGGUCCGGUAUUGACGCUGAGGCGCGAAAGCGUGGGUAGCUAACAGG